UUAAAUUGAAGAGUUUGAUCAUGGCUCAGAUUGAACGCUAGCGGCAGGCCUAACACAUGCAAGUCGAACGGUAGCACAGAGAGCUUGCUCUCGG
rnacentral:rRNA from 2 species